rnacentral:rRNA from 1 species
UAGGGAAUCUUCGGCAAUGGGGGCAACCCUGACCGAGCAACGCCGCGUGAGUGAAGAAGGUUUUCGGAUCGUAAAGCUCUGUUGUAAGUCAAGAACGGGUGUGAGAGUGGAAAGUUCACACUGUGACGGUAGCUUACCAGAAAGGGACGGCUAACUACGUGCCAGCAGCCGCGGUAAUACGUAGGUCCCGAGCGUUGUCCGGAUUUAUUGGGCGUAAAGCGAGCGCAGGCGGUUUGAUAAGUCUGAAGUUAAAGGCUGUGGCUCAACCAUAGUUCGCUUGGAACUGUCAAACUUGAGUGCAGAAGGGGAGAGUGGAAUUCCAUGUGUAGCGGUGAAAUGCGUAGAUAUAUGGAGGAACACCGGUGGCGAAAGCGGCUCUCUGGUCUGUAACUGACGCUGAGGCUCGAAAGCGUGGGGAGCGAACAGGAUUAGAUACCCUGGUAGUCCACGCCGUAAACGAUGAGUGCUAGGUGUUGGAUCCUUUCCGGGAUUCAGUGCCGCAGCUAACGCAUUAAGCACUCCGCCUGGGGAGUACGACCGCAAGGUUGAAAC